rnacentral:rRNA from 1 species
UUUAUCAUGGUGUGUGUGUAGCUGCCAGUAGUCAUAUGCUUGUCUCAAAGAUUAAGCCAUGCAUGUCUAAGUACAUGCCGUAUUAAGGCGAAACCGCGAAUGGCUCAUUAAAUCAGUUAUGGUUCCUUGGAUCGUACACUUCUACUUGGAUAACUGUGGCAAUUCUAGAGCUAAUACAUGCAGCAGAGCUCCGACCUUCGGGGACGAGCGCUUUUAUUAGACCAAAACCAAUCGGACCUCGUGUCCGUCCUCCGUGGUGACUCUGUAUAACUUUGGGCUGAUCGCACGGGCCCGUCCCGGCGACGUAUCUUUCAAGUGUCUGCCUUAUCAACUUUCGAUGGUAGGUUACGCGCCUACCAUGGUCGUAACGGGUAACGGGGAAUCAGGGUUCGAUUCCGGAGAGGGAGCCUGAGAAACGGCUACCACAUCCAAGGAAGGCAGCAGGCGCGCAAAUUACCCACUCCCAGAACGGGGAGGUAGUGACGAAAAAUAACAAUACGGGACUCUUUUGAGACCCCGUAAUUGGAAUGAGUACACUCUAAAUCCUUUAACAAUUAGCAAUUGGAGGGCAAGUCUGGUGCCAGCAGCCGCGGUAAUUCCAGCUCCAAUAGCGUAUAUUAAAGUUGUUGCGGUUAAAAAGCUCGUAGUUGGAUCUCAGUUCCAGACGGGUGGUCCGCCAACCGGUGGUCACUGCCCGUUCUGAACAGCCAGCCGGUUUCCCCCGAUGAUCUUCACCGGUUGUCUCGGGUGACCGGCAAGUUUACUUUGAAAAAAUUAGAGUGCUCAAAGCAGGCGCGACGCCUGAAUAAUGGUGCAUGGAAUAAUGGAAUAGGACCUCGGUUCUAUUUUGUUGGUUUCUCGGAACACGAGGUAAUGAUUAAGAGGGACAGACGGGGGCAUUCGUAUUGCGACGCUAGAGGUGAAAUUCUUGGACCGUCGCAAGACGAACUACUGCGACACUAUUAUGGCGAGAAGAAA